rnacentral:rRNA from 1 species
CACACCGCCCGUCACACCAUGGGAGUUGGUUCUACCCGAAGAUGGUGCGCUAACCGCAAGGAAGCAGCCAGCCACGGUAGGGUCAGCGACUGGGGUG